GAUGAACGCUGGCGGCGUGCCUAAUACAUGCAAGUCGAGCGAACAGACGAGGAGCUUGCUCCUCUGACGUUAGCGGCGGACGGGUGAGUAACACGUGGAUAACCUACCUAUAAGACUUGGAUAACUUCGGGAAACCGGAGCUAAUACCGGAUAAUAUAUUUAACCGCAUGGUUCAAUAGUGAAAUACGGUUUUGCUGUCACUUAUAGAUGGAUCCGCGCCGCAUUAGCUAGUUGGUAAGGUAACGGCUUACCAAGGCAACGAUGCGUAGCCGACCUGAGAGGGUGAUCGGCCACACUGGAACUGAGACACGGUCCAGACUCCUACGGGAGGCAGAAGUAGGGAAUCUUCCGCAAUGGGCGAAAGCUUGACGGAGCAACGCCGCGUGAGUGAUGAAGGUCUUCGGAUCGUAAAACUCUGUUAUUAGGGAAGAACAAAUGUGUAAGUAACUAUGCACGUCUUGACGGUACCUAAUCAGAAAGCCACGGCUAACUACGUG
rnacentral:rRNA from 1 species